rnacentral:rRNA from 1 species
GAUGAACGCUGGCUACAGGCUUAACACAUGCAAGUCGAGGGGAAACGCCGGGGAAGCUUGCUUCCCCGGGCGUCGACCGGCGCACGGGUGAGUAACGCGUAUCCAACCUGCCUCUGACUGAGGGGUAACCCGUCGAAAGUCGGCCUAAUACCUCAUGGCAUCGUCUGCGGGCAUCCAACGACGAUUAAAGAUUUCAUCGGUCAGAGAUGGGGAUGCGUCUGAUUAGCUUGUUGGCGGGGUAACGGCCCACCAAGGCGACGAUCAGUAGGGGUUCUGAGAGGAAGGUCCCCCACAUUGGAACUGAGACACGGUCCAAACUCCUACGGGAGGCAGCAGUGAGGAAUAUUGGUCAAUGGGCGAGAGCCUGAACCAGCCAAGUAGCGUGCAGGAUGACGGCCCUAUGGGUUGUAAACUGCUUUUAUGCGGGGAUAAAGUGAGGGACGUGUCCUUCAUUGCAGGUACCGCAUGAAUAAGGACCGGCUAAGUCCGUG